UACAGAGGGUGCAAGCGUUAAUCGGAAUUACUGGGCGUAAAGCGUGCGUAGACGGUUACAUAAGUCGGGUGUGAAAGCCCCGGGCUCAACCUGGGAAUUGCAUUCGAGACUGCGUAGCUAGGGUGCGGAAGAGGGAAGCGGAAUUUCCGGUGUAGCGGUGAAAUGCGUAGAGAUCCGGAGGAACACCGAAGGCGAAGGCAGUGUCCUGGGGAGUACCUGACGCUCAGGUGCGAAAGCUAGGGGAGCGAACGGG
rnacentral:rRNA from 1 species